UCCGUGUUAACCACGGCAGUCUCUUUAGAGUGCCCAACUAAAAUGCUGGCAACUAAAGACAAGGGUUGCGCUCGUUGCGGGACUUAACCCAACAUGUCACCACACGAGCUGACGACAGCCAUGCAGCACCUGUCUUCUGGUCGUAUUGCUACGAAAGCCGUAUCUCUACGGUUGUCCAGAGAUGUCAAACCCAGGUAAGGUUCUUCGCGUUGCUUCGAAUUAAACCACAUGAUCCACCGCUUGUGCGGGCCCCCGUCAAUUCCUUUGAGUUUUAGUCUUGCGACCGUACUUCCCAGGCGGGGUACUUAGUGCGUUAGCGCCGAGUCAGCGGGGGUCAAGACCCACCAACUCUAGUACCCAUCGUUUACAGCGUGGACUAC
rnacentral:misc_RNA from 1 species